GGAGCGCAGUGUGGUGCAGUGCGGAGGACGCAGGAAUGCGGGGACGAGUGGCGGAGCGUGACUGAAUAGGCUGCGACGAAGGGAGAGUAUGAAGACGCCAGCAGGGCGCCGAGAACCGGUGAGAAAACCUGGUCUGAGCGAGGCUAAAGGACAUGCCAGUUACGUGAUUUGGAAGUGGUCCAGGUAAAGGAGGACAGUGCUGGUUUUCGACUCCCUGUUUGACCUUAACAUCAUCCCUGCUACCAUCCCCAUGAUGCAGAAGUACAAACUGCAAAGACAGAACUUUGCCUUGCUCUCCCCUGGGUUCCCAGUGGCUGGCACUCAGCAGACAAUCAGUGCACACUGUGGCUCAUUACAGCUGCGGGCCUGUGGAAGAGAGGUGCCCUUGGAGAGGCCAAGGAGACCCCGCCGUCAUCAGACAUCACACCUCUAGCUCCCGUACACCUGCAUCUUCUUUAAAACUGAUGGAGCCAAAGGCAGUCCUGGGAACUCUUGAACUCUUCUCUGAAGGUCUGUUUCACGGAUUCUUCACCCCUCUGGCCUUCAGUAAGCAUUUGAUUCCCGGCUUCUGAUAAAGGAGGUCCUGUGAGGAACAGAGCCUAUUUAUUCUAUCUUGCUCUGUCGCCUCUAAUGUGCUGUCACACAAGUGACUUGCUGUGUGAGGCUAGAAAGGAAACAAUAAAAUGCGCCAUUAAGAGCUGC